CUAAGCACGAAGCCCCCCUCAAGAUGAGAUUUCCCAUUACGCAAGUAAGUAAGAUCCCUCAAAGACGAUGAGGUAGAUAGGUUCGGGGUGGAAGCGUGGCGACACGUGCAGCUGACGAAUACUAAUCGAUCGAGGACUUAACCAA
rnacentral:rRNA from 1 species